rnacentral:rRNA from 1 species
CUAAUACAUGCAAGUCGAACGCUGAAACACUCUGCUUGCAGAGUGUGGAUGAGUGGCGAACGGGUGAGUAACACGUGGGGAAUCUGCCUAUAAGUGGGGGAUAACAUUCGGAAACGGAUGCUAAUACCGCAUAUAUUCAAAAACCGCAUGGUUUCUGAAAGAAAGACGGCUUUGCUGUCGCUUAUAGAUGAUCCCGCGGCGUAUUAGUUAGUUGGUGGGGUAAUGGCCUACCAAGACCAUGAUACGUAGCCGACCUGAGAGGGUGAUCGGCCACACUGGGACUGAGACACGGCCCAGACUCCUACGGGAGGCAGCAGUAGGGAAUCUUCCACAAUGGGUGCAAACCUGAUGGAGCAAUGCCGCGUGAAUGAAGAAGGUCUUCGGAUCGUAAAGUUCUGUUAUUAGAGAAGAACAAGUCAAGGAGUAACUGUCUUGACUUUGACGGUACCUAACCAGAAAGUCACGGCUAACUACGUGCCAGCAGCCGCGGUAAUACGUAGGUGACAAGCGUUGUCCGGAAUUAUUGGGCGUAAAGGGAGCGCAGGCGGUUGGAAUAGUCUGAUGUGAAAGCCCACGGCUUAACCGUGGAAGGUCAUUGGAAACUGUCCAACUUGAAUGCAGAAGAGGUAAGUGGAAUUCCAUGUGUAGCGGUGAAAUGCGUAAAUAUAUGGAGGAACACCAGUGGCGAAGGCGAC